ACGGUCUUCGGAUGCCAGAAACAGACAAGGGAUUUGUAAAUAGCAAUGACAGGCCUAAAACAAAGACGCUCGAGACUGUAAAUAAUAGAGAGAGCUUUAAGAUGGAGGCUCAACACAAGUUUGUAAAUAAUAACAAAGAUGGCCUGAACGUGGAGAAUCAAUUAGAAGAUGCGGAUGAUGAGUUUGAUUAGAGGUGUGCAGAAAUUCUUUUAUUCUCCAGGGAGGUUAAUUAACAGUGUCAUGGGUGGAAAUUGUAAAGAGUGAGGCAUAGGUGGGGGUUUGACCGGAAACUGAAAUUAUGGGAUACUAAGUUGCUGGGGUUUUCAUGUUCUGUUGACUAUGUAAAUAACAGACUUAACAGACUUCAGAAUAUGUUCCGAAUAAUCAGUUGUAUUAUGUAAAUAAUAGCAUGACUUUAUAAA